CCUACGGGUGGCAGCAGUCGAGAAUCAUUCACAAUGGGGGAAACCCUGAUGGUGCGACGCCGCGUGGGGGAAUGAAGGUCUUCGGAUUGUAAACCCCUGUCAUGUGGGAGCAAAUUAAAAAGAUAGUACCACAAGAGGAAGAGACGGCUAACUCUGUGCCAGCAGCCGCGGUAAUACAGAGGUCUCAAGCGUUGUUCGGAAUCACUGGGCGUAAAGCGUGCGUAGGCUGUUUCGUAAGUCGUGUGUGAAAGGCGCGGGCUCAACCCGCGGACGGCACAUGAUACUGCGAGACUAGAGUAAUGGAGGGGGAACCGGAAUUCUCGGUGUAGCAGUGAAAUGCGUAGAUAUCGAGAGGAACACUCGUGGCGAAGGCGGGUUACUGGACAUCAACUGACGCUGAGGCACGAAGGCCAGGGGAGCGAAAGGGAUUAGAUACCCCUGUAGUC
rnacentral:rRNA from 1 species